rnacentral:rRNA from 1 species
AUUGAACGCUGGCGGCAUGCGUAACACAUGCAAGUCGAACGGUGUUUGGUGCUUGCACCAGACAUAGUGGCGGACGGGUGAGUAAUGCGUAGGAAUCUGUCUUAGAGAGGGGGACAACCCGAGGAAACUUGGGCUAAAACCGCAUAUUCUCGAGAGAGGAAAGCAGGGGACCGGAAACGGCCUUGUGCUCUAAGGUGAGCCUACAUCGGAUUAGCUAGUUGGUAGGGUAAAAGCCUACCAAGGCGAUGAUCUGUAGCUGGUCUGAGAGGACGGACAGCCACACUGGGACUGAGACACGGCCCAGACUCCUACGGGAGGCAGCAGUGGGGAAUAUUGGACAAUGGGGGAACCCUGAUCCAGCGAUGCCGCGUGUGUGAAGAAGGCCUGCGGGUUGUAAAGCACUUUCAGUGGGAAAGAGAAGCGUCUUGUGAAUAAUGGGACCGUGGAGACGUUAACUCACAGAAGAAGCAACCGGGCUAAACUCUGUGCCAGCAGCCGCGG